rnacentral:tRNA from 1 species
GGGCGUGUGGCUCAGUGGAAGAGCGCUUCCCUCACACGGAAGAGGUCGCUGGUUCGAGCCCAGCCACGCCCACCA